rnacentral:rRNA from 1 species
GACGAACGCUGGCGGUGUGCUUAACACAUGCAAGUCGAACGGUAAGGCCCUUUCGGGGGCACACGAGUGGCGAACGGGUGAGUAACACGUGAGUAACCUGCCCUCAUCUCUGGGAUAACAGUCGGAAACGGUUGCUAAUACUGGAUAUGAGCUUGCAAGGCAUCUUGUGGGUUGGAAAGAUUUUUUUGGUUGGGGAUGGACUCGCGGCCUAUCAGCUUGUUGGUGAGGUAGUGGCUCACCAAGGCUUCGACGGGUAGCCGGCCUGAGAGGGCGACCGGCCACAUUGGGACUGAGAUACGGCCCAAACUCCUACGGGAGGCAGCAGUGGGGAAUAUUGCACAAUGGACGGAAGUCUGAUGCAGCAACGCCGCGGGCGGGAUGACGGCCUUCGGGUUGUAAACCGCUUUCAAUUGUGACGAAGCUUUUUGUGACGGUAGCAGUAGAAGAAGCACCGGCUAACUACGUG